AUUGAACGCUGGCGGCAGGCCUAACACAUGCAAGUCGAGCGGAUGAAGGGAGCUUGCUCCUGGAUUCAGCGGCGGACGGGUGAGUAAUGCCUAGGAAUCUGCCUUGUAGUGGGGGAUAACGUCCGGAAACGGGCGCUAAUACCACAUACGUCCUGAGGGAGAAAGUGGGGGAUCUUCUGACCUCACGCUAUCAGAUGAGCCUAGGUCGGAUUAGCUAGUUGGUGGGGUAAAGGCCUACCAAGGCGACGAUCCGUAACUGGUCUGAGAGGAUGAUCAGUCACACUGGAACUGAGACACGGUCCAGACUCCUACGGGAGGCAGCAGUGGGGAAUAUUGGACAAUGGGCGAAAGCCUGAUCCAGCCAUGCCGCGUGUGUGAAGAAGGUCUUCGGAUUGUAAAGCACUUUAAGUUGGGAGGAAGGGCAGUAAGUUAAUACCUUGCUGUUUUGACGGUACCAACAGAAUAAGCACCGGCUAACUUCGUG
rnacentral:rRNA from 1 species